GGUCAAGCUAAUAAGGGCUAACGGUGGAUACCUAGGCACACGGAAGCGAAGAAGGACGUAGUUACCGACGAAACGCUUCGGGGAGCGGGAAGCAAGCAUUGAUCCGAAGAUAUCCGAAUGGGGCAACCCUAAACACGACCACCUGAAUACAUAGGGUGGAGCGAGCAAACCUGGUGAACUGAAACAUCUUAGUAGCCAGAGGAAAAGAAAGCAACAGCGAUUCCCCCAGUAGCGGCGAGCGAAAAGGGAACAGCCUAAACCAAGUUCUUCGGAACUUGGGGUCGUGGGACAGUAACAAAAGACUGGGAAAUUUAGACGAAGCGGCUGAAAACCGCACCAGAGAGGGUGAAAGUCCUGUAGUCGAAAAAGGAACCAGCUUAACUGCAUCCCGAGUAGCAUGGGGCACGUGAAAUCCCGUGUGAAUCUGCCUCGACCACGAGGUAAGGCUAAAUAUUCCCGUGUGACCGAUAGAGAAACAGUACCGCGAGGGAAAGGUGAAAAGAACCCCGGAAGGGGAGUGAAAUAGAACAUGAAACCGUUAGCCUACAAGCAAUGGGAGGACGAUUGAACGUCUGACCGUGUGCCUGUUGAAGAAUGAGCCGGCGACUUACAGGUUAUGGCAGGUGAAGGGGGAAGACCCCACAGCCCCAGCGAAAGCGAGUCUGAAUAGGGCGAAGCGUCAUAAUUUGUAGACCCGAACCCGGGUGAUCUAACCAUGGCCAGGAUGAAGCUUGGGUAAAACCAAGUGGAGGUCCGAACCGACUAAUGUUGAAAAAUUAGCGGAUGAGCUGUGGUUAGGGGUGAAAUGCCAAUCGAACUCGGAGCUAGCUGGUUCUCCCCGAAAUGUGUUGAGGCGCAGCGGUAGUGGAAGUUUAGUCGGGGUAAAGCACUGUUUCGCCGCGGGCUGGGAGACCGGUACCAAGGCGAGGCAAACUCUGAAUACGGCUAAAAAAACUACCAGUGAGACGGUGGGGGAUAAGCUUCAUCGUCAAGAGGGAAACAGCCCAGACCACCAGCUAAGGUCCCCAAAUGAUAACUAAGUGAGAAAGGAGGUGGGAGUGCAUUGACAACCAGGAGGUUUGCCUAGAAGCAGCAACCCUUAAAAGAGUGCGUAAUAGCUCACUGGUCAAGCGCUCCUGCGCCGAAAAUGAACGGGGCUAAGUUAUCUACCGAAGCUGUGGACUACAUUGUAGUGGUAGGGGAGCGUUCUAUAGGGGGUGAAGCAGUAGCGGCAAGCAGCUGUGGACUCUAUAGAAGUGAGAAUGUCGGCUUAAGUAGCGAAAAUGUGGGUGAGAAUCCCACACCCCGAAACCCCAAGGUUUCCUCCGCAAGGCUCGUCCGCGGAGGGUCAGUCAGGACCUAAGGCGAGGCUGAAAAGCGUAGUCGAUGGACAACGGGUUAACAUUCCCGUACCGAUUAAUGAUUGUGCCGGAGAACGGAGAAGGUCAACGUCAGCUGGAUGUUGGUUACCAGUGCAAGCAGUCGAGGCGAUGAGAGGUGGAGAAAACACCAGGAGCUAAGACGCGAGUCCCACCUCCCACGGGAGGGAAGUGGCGCUGAUCAAGCUUCCUAGAAAAGCCCGAACCACGUUAAUCAUUAAUUGCCUGUACCCGAAACCGACACAGGUGGGGAAGUAGAGAAUACUAAGGGGCGCGAGAUAACUCUCUCUAAGGAACUCGGCAAAAUGACCCCGUAACUUCGGGAGAAGGGGUACCCUCGCAAGAGGGUCGCAGUGAAUAGGCCCAGGCGACUGUUUACCAAAAACACAGGUCUCCGCCAAGUCGUAAGACGCAGUAUGGGGGCUGACGCCUGCCCAGUGCCGGAAGGUUAAGGAAGUUGGUCAGGAGUAAUCUGAAGCUGACGACCGAAGCCCCGGUGAACGGCGGCCGUAACUAUAACGGUCCUAAGGUAGCGAAAUUCCUUGUCGGGUAAGUUCCGACCCGCACGAAAGGCGUAACGAUCUGGGCACUGUCUCGGAGAGAGACUCGGCGAAAUAGGAUUGUCUGUGAAGAUACGGACUACCUGCACCUGGACAGAAAGACCCUAUGAAGCUUUACUGUAGCCUGGAAUUGGCUUCGGGCUUCGCUUGCGCAGGAUAGGUGGGAAGCGUUGAAACUCUCCUCGUGGGGAGGGUGGAGCUAACGGUGAGAUACCACUCUGGCGAGGCUAGAAUUCUAACCCUGACCCCUAAUCGGGGCGGGAGACAGUUUCAGGUGGGCAGUUUGACUGGGGCGGUCGCCUCCUAAAAGGUAACGGAGGCGCGCAAAGGUUCCCUCGGUCCCGUUGGAAAUGGGACGAUAGAGUGCAAAAGCAGAAGGGAGCUUGACUGUGAGACCCACAAGUCGAACAGGGACGAAAGUCGGCUUUAGUGAUCCGACGGCACCGCGUGGAAGGGCCGUCGCUCAACGGAUAAAAGUUACUCUAGGGAUAACAGGCUGAUCUCCCCCAAGAGUUCACAUCGACGGGGAGGUUUGGCACCUCGAUGUCGGCUCAUCGCAACCUGGGGCUGAAGUCGGUCCCAAGGGUUGGGCUGUUCGCCCAUUAAAGCGGUACGUGAGCUGGGUUCAGAACGUCGUGAGACAGUUCGGUCCAUAUCCGGUGUAGGCGUAAGAGCAUUGCGAGGAGCCUUCCUUAGUACGAGAGGACCGGGAAGGACGCACCGCUGGUGUACCUGUUAUCGUGCCAACGGUAAACGCAGGGUAGCCAUGUGCGGAGCGGAUAACCGCUGAAAGCAUCUAAGUGGGAAGCCCACCUCCAGAUGAUUGCUCUCAUGGCAUUAAGCCAGUAAGGUCUCGGGUAGACUACCCGUUGAUAGGCUCUAGAUGGAAGCUCGGUAACGAGUGCAGUCGAGGAGUACUAACCGACCGAGGGCUUGACCUC
rnacentral:rRNA from 3 species